UCACGGGUAGAUCUCCCACCCUUGAAUAACAUACAUUGUUGCUUUGGCGGACGCUCCGGCGGCCGCCAGAGAACCCUAAACUCUUGUUUACAGUGUCGUCUGAGUACUAUAUAAUAGUUAAAACUUUCAACAACGGAUCUCUUGGUUCUGGCAUCGAUGAAGAACGCAGCGAAAUGCGAUAAGUAAUGUGAAUUGCAGAAUUCAGUGAAUCAUCGAAUCUUUGAACGCACAUUGCGCCCCUUGGUAUUCCGGGGGGCAUGCCUGUUCGAGCGUCAUUAUAACCCCUCAAGCUCAGCUUGGUGUUGGGGCCUGCCAACUGGCAGCCCUUAAAAUCAGUGGCGGCGCCAUCUGGCUCUAAGCGUAGUAAUUUCUCUCGCUAUAGGGUCCGGAUGGAUGCUUGCCAGCAACCCCCAAUUUUCUAUGGUUGACCUCGGAUCAGGUAGGGAUACCCGCUGAACUUAAGCAUAUCAAUAAGCGGAGGAAAAGAAACCAACAGGGAUUGCCUCAGUAACGGCGAGUGAAGCGGCAACAGCUCAAAUUUGAAAUCUGGCUCUUUCAGGGUCCGAGUUGUAAUUUGUAGAAGAUGCUUCGGGUGUGGCUCCGGUCUAAGUUCCUUGGAACAGGACGUCAUAGAGGGUGAGAAUCCCGUAUGUGACUGGUUGCCUUCGCCCAUGUGAAGCUCUUUCGACGAGUCGAGUUGUUUGGGAAUGCAGCUCAAAAUGGGUGGUAAAUUUCAUCUAAAGCUAAAUAUUGGCCAGAGACCGAUAGCGCACAAGUAGAGUGAUCGAAAGAUGAAAAGCACUUUGGAAAGAGAGUUAAACAGUACGUGAAAUUGUUGAAAGGGAAGCGCUUGCAACCAGACUUGCACGCGGUUGGUCAU
rnacentral:rRNA from 1 species